rnacentral:SRP_RNA from 1 species
CGGCAAGUCUUAUACGACCAGCUCCUGCUCAACUCCCCCAGGAUCGGAAGAUAGCAAGGGUAAUGCGGUUGAGCGGUGCGAUGUAAGUAACUUGCCAUUU